UAGUCCACGCCGUAAACGAUGUGUGCUAGAUGUCGGGUCCAUAGGAUUCGGUGUCGCAGCUAACGCACUAAGCACACCGCCUGGGGAGUACGGUCGCAAGAUUAAAACUCAAAGGAAUUGACGGGGACCCGCACAAGCGGUGGAGCAUGUUCUUUAAUUCGAAGCAACGCGAAGAACCUUACCUACACUUGACAUACUCGUCGGGAUUUCCAGAGAUGGAUUUCUUCGGUUCGGCCGGACGAGAUACAGGUGCUGUACGGCUGUCGUCAGCUCGUGUCGUGAGAUGUUUGGUUAAGUCCAGCAACGAGCGCAACCCCUAUCGUAUGUUGCCAGCAUUUAGUUGGGCACUCAUGCGAGACUGCCGGUGUUAAGCCGGAGGAAGGUGGGGACGACGUCAAGUCAUCAUGGCCCUUACGUGUAGGGCUAGAAGCGUGCUACAGUGGGAGUUACAGUGGGCAGCAACGUCGCGAGGCGAAGCUAAUCCCUAAAAGCUCUCUCAGUUCGG
rnacentral:rRNA from 1 species